AUUGAACGCUGGCGGCAUGCUUUACACAUGCCAGUCGAACGGUAACAGCACUUCGGUGGCUGACGAGUGGCGAACGGGUGAGUAAUACAUCGGAACGUGCCUAGUAGUGGGGGAUAACUACUCGAAAGAGUAGCUAAUACCGCAUGAGAUCUAAGGAUGAAAGCAGGGGACCUUCGGGCCUUGCGCUACUAGAGGGGCUGAUGGCAGAUUAGGUGGGUGGUGGGAUAGAAGCGUACCAAGCCGACGAUCUGUAGCUGGUCUGAGAGGACGGCCAGCCACACUGAGAGUGAGAGACGGCGCAGACUCCUACGGGAGGCAGCGUUGGGGAAUUUUGGACAAUGGGCGCAAGCCUAAUCCAGCAAUGCCGCGUGCAGGAUGAAGGCCUUCGGGUUGUAAACUGCUUUUGUACGGAACGAAAAGCCCUCUUCUAAUACAGGAGGGUCAUGACGGUACCGUAAGAAUAAGCACCGGCUAACUACGUG
rnacentral:rRNA from 1 species